UGAUAUUUGGUGUGCUUCCUCGU
rnacentral:piRNA from 1 species